AUUUCAUUAGUUUAAGUUAAAAAUAUAACUCUGAAGAAGUUAAGAUAUAUGAAAUA
rnacentral:tRNA from 1 species